CCUACGGGACGCAGCAGUGGGGAAUAUUGCACAAUGGGGGAAACCCUGAUGCAGCGACGCCGCGUGAGUGAAGAAGUAUUUCGGUAUGUAAAGCUCUAUCAGCAGGGAAGAAAUACUGACCUUACGGUCAGCAGACGGUACCUGACUAAGAAGCCCCGGCUAACUACGUGCCAGCAGCCGCGGUAAUACGUAGGGGGCAAGCGUUAUCCGGAUUCACUGGGCGUAAAGGGAGCGCAGGCGGCAUGGCAAGUCUGAUGUGAAAACCCGGGGCCCAACCCCGGGAGUGCAUUGGAAACUGCCAGGCU
rnacentral:rRNA from 1 species